UCCAAAUUAUUGAGCCAUUUUCUGUGUGGACAUCAGGCCUAUGUUGGGACAACAGCUCUACCAGCUUGAACUUGUUCGGUGCCGAGCUCAUGGGAUUCUGCACAUCAUAGAUGAUACAAUGAAGAUAAAGUGCUUGGAAUGUGGAUCAAGGCAUUUGCUUGGGAGUGAU